AGAGUUUGAUCAUGGCUCAGGACGAACGCUGGCGGCGUGCUUAACACAUGCAAGUGGAGCGACGAACCAGGCUUCGGCCUGGGGCAAAGCCGCGAACGGGUGAGUAACACGUGGGUAACCUGCCCCGAUGACUGGGACAACCCGGGGAAACCCGGGCUAAUACCGGAUGUGCUCCCUCACCUCGGUGAGACGAGUAAAGGAAGCUUCGGCCUCCGCAUCGGGAUGGGCCCGCGGCCCAUUAGCUUGUUGGUGGGGUAACGGCUCACCAAGGCGACGAUGGGUAGCUGGUCUGAGAGGACGAUCAGCCACACUGGGACUGAGACACGGCCCAGACUCCUACGGGAGGCAGCAGUGGGGAAUCUUGCGCAAUGCGCGACAGCGUGACGCAGCAACGCCGCGUGGGGGAAGAAGGCCUUCGGGUUGUAAACCCCUUUCAGGAGGGACGAAGGCCGGGCGGUUAAUAGCCGACCCGGCUGACGGUACCUCCACAAGAAGCCCCGGCUAACUACGUGCCAGCAGCCGCGGUAAUACGUAGGGGGCAAGCGUUGUCCGGAAUCAUUGGGCGUAAAGAGCGUGUAGGCGGUCCGGUAAGUCGGUUGUGAAAGUCAGGGGCUCAACCCUUGAAUGCCGACCGAUACUGCCGGACUAGAGUCCGGAAGAGGCGAGUGGAAUUCCUGGUGUAGCGGUGAAAUGCGCAGAUAUCGGGAAGAACACCCGUGGCGAAGGCGGUUCUCUGGGACGGUACUGACGCUGAGACGCGAAAGCGUGGGGAGCGAACAGGAUUAGAUACCCCUGUAGUCC
rnacentral:rRNA from 1 species